AUCCUUUUUCACUCAACUGCCGAUAUCUCUGGAACUACUGGUCGCACAGUGAGCCGAAGGGCAGUUUCUUUUUCUGCAGAAAAUUUCCUACAAAAAACUGUCAUGGUUGAUGUCAAAAAAAAUUUUUUCCCACCUGUAGCGUUAACGUGAAAAAAGAGCAAAAAAAAUGCCAUUUUGCCUUUUUUUGGAUAAUCGACUGUAUCUUCGUCAAUAUUGGGGGAAGAGCUUAGGUUAGAAGGAAAUUUUACAGCCUAAUGUACCCCAAAGGUCCCUCUAAAUCGAACUAGUAACUCCCAC